rnacentral:rRNA from 1 species
AGCGAACGCUGGCGGCAGGCCUAACACAUGCAAGUCGAACGAACCCUUCGGGGUUAGUGGCGGACGGGUGAGUAACACGUGGGAACGUGCCUUUAGGUUCGGAAUAACUCAGGGAAACUUGUGCUAAUACCGAAUGUGCCCUUCGGGGGAAAGAUUUAUCGCCUUUAGAGCGGCCCGCGUCUGAUUAGCUAGUUGGUGAGGUAAAGGCUCACCAAGGCUACGAUCAGUAGCUGGUCUGAGAGGAUGACCAGCCACAUUGGGACUGAGACACGACCCAAACUCCGACGGGAGGCAGCAGUGGGGAAUCUUGCGCAAUGGGCGAAAGCCUGACGCAGCCAUGCCGCGUGGAUGAUGAAGGUCUUAGGAUUGUAAAAUCCUUUCACCGGUGAAGAUAAUGACUGUAGCCGGAGAAGAAGCCCCGGCUAACUUCGUGCCAGCAGCCGCCGUAAAAC